rnacentral:lncRNA from 1 species
GCCAAUUUCAAUUCUCUUCUUCAAUCUCCAAGGACUCCAAUUUUCUUUUGUUUUCAUUUCAAAAGUUGAAGUAUCAAUUGUUCUUGCAUUGAAGUGCACGGUUUAGUCAGCCUCUAAAAUUUCAAGCCAUUAUCAAUUUACCAGGUUAGUUUACCUUUUCUUUGUUUUUUUUGAUUGCUCUUAGUUGGUUACUUGAUGUGUAUAUGCUAAUUAUGGUCCGUAUUUUUCCUAUUUAACUUAGAAUUAUGGAUUAAAUUAAAUAUUUUGAGUUGAUUUUAAAAUAUAUCAAUUGUUGUUAUAUAAACUUUAGAGAAAAAAAUUCAAUUUUUACUCUAUUUCUUGUGGAAUUUCAACAAUUGAUGAUGUCUUUGUUGGGUCUCUGGCUAGAAACAUUACAUUUAUUUAGUGAAAUGGGGGUGUCUCAAGUUGACUCGCCAGUUGUUUGAUGAAUUGCUUGAGAGGGACUGUUUGAUGAAUUUUGCUUGAGAAGGACGUGUUUUGAUUUUAUUAAUUGUAGCAUUUUGAUUUUUAUAUGGUGGACACUACUUGCAACUUGGAUAAUAUGGCAUUAAUUGACAGGGUCCUAAACCAGAAUGACACUCUGGCUCAAAAAUUUUUUUUUAAUCAUUUGGGUGGCUUGAGUUUCAAAGUCGGUAGGACCAUAAUCUUUGGUCCGUCUAGCUAAAAAGCACAGCUUUUGACCAAAGCAAGCUUCAUACCCCCAUAUUCUCCAUUCCGUAAUUGAAAAUGUCAUCCAACUCGUUGCAGACUUGGGAUACCAAUUGGUUAUGACCACGUAGAAGAUACGUAUGCUUCAAUUACAAGAAAGCUAGAAAAGUAAAUCAAUAUAGGAUCUUAGUUUGGUAUAGAAAAAUAAUCCUCAGAUAAGAAACUCAAAACUGACAAUAAUUGCACUUUCUUUACAAUAAUAACUAACCUUCUAGGUGAAUUACACACAAGAAAAAAUUCCAAAAUUUGCACCAACAUUGUAGCCUAGCUUAAAAAAAAAGAAAUUAACAAAGGUCCAAUUAAAGUCUUUGGUGAACCAAUUACUUGUGCAUUUGCGUGGCAGUAUUCAUAAAACCACUAAACCAGUUUUUUUGGUUGGAUGAACAUUUUUAAGUCCAUAAUAUGUGGUGGACACACACAAACAAAAGUGGAGAUUAGAAGAAUUGCGCACCAAGUUAGUAAUUAAGAAUUUUUUUUAUAUGCAAAUAUUUGAGUGAUCUAAAUAUUCUAUAGCAGAAAAUUAUUGCAUGUUAGAGAGUUUUGUUCAUCUUCUUCCAUUGACUAAUGUAAACACAAUAGAUUUUUGUCUAUAUAUUAAUCAGAUUUUGCUCAAAUUAGAACUAACCAUUUAAUUAAUUUAUUUGUUUGACUAAUUGUAUUUAGAUAUCUCAUUUUAGAAUGGAUGCCGGUAGUGGUAGUAACUCACAAUGUUCACCAUCUGGAGCAUUCAAUAGUGAAGAAUCUGCAAGUCAACCUCAUGGUCAGAGACAGAAGACAGAU